GAUGAACGCUGGCGGCGUGCCUAAUACAUGCAAGUCGAGCGAAUGGAUUAAGAGCUUGCUCUUAUGAAGUUAGCGGCGGACGGGUGAGUAACACGUGGGUAACCUGCCCAUAAGACUGGGAUAACUCCGGGAAACCGGGGCUAAUACCGGAUAACAUUUUGAACCGCAUUGUUCGGAAUUGAAAGGCGGCUUCGGCUGUCACUUAUGGAUGGACCCGCGUCGCAUUAGCGAGUUGGUGCGGUAACGGCUCACCAAGGCAACGAUGCGUAGCCGACCUGAGAGGGUGAUCGGCCACACUGGGACUGAGACACGGCCCAGGCUCCUACGGGAGGCAGCAGUAGGGAAUCUUCCGCAAUGGACGAAAGUCUGACGGAGCAACGCCGCGUGAGUGAUGAAGGCUUUCGGGUCGUAAAACUCUGUUGUUAGGGAAGAACAAGUGCUAGUUGAAUAAGCUGGCACCUUGACGGUACCUAACCAGAAAGCCACGGCUAACUACGUGCCAGCAGCCGCCGUAA
rnacentral:rRNA from 1 species